UCCCGGGUUCAAGCAAUUCUCCUGCCUCAGCCUCCCGAAUAGCUGGGAUUAGAGGCAUGCACCGCCACGCCUGACUAAUUUUGUAUUUUUAGUAGAGAUGGGGUUUCUCCAUGUUGGCUUGGCUGGUCUCAAACUCCUGACCUCAGGUGAUCCACCCGCCUUGGCCUCCCAAACUGCUGGGAUCAUAGGCAUGAGCCACCAGGCCUGGCCCACAGCAUAGUAACUAUUUAGUAAUAAAUUAUAUAGAUUGGAUUGUGGGGCCCAUCUUUCACGUCUGCCCCGUAUACCCUGACAGAAUCCACUUGGCUAGUUUGGGUACUCAAAUAUGGACCACCAGAUGGUGAGUUGCUGCCUGAAAUGUGUGAAGAAACAAGCUAGACUCUAGGAGACAGGACUUGCAUAUUUUAAUGGAAACAAUAGGUGCAAGGUCAUAGGAAGUGUCUUUUUAUAAACAGCUUCACAGCCUUGGCACAGUGGAGAGCACAUUGUCAGACUGAGAUUGAAUGAAUAAACAGUUGGAAAUUAACUUUUGUGGGGCAUCAUUUACCUAAUCAAGUGGACACUGGAGACCAUCAUUUUGUUGGAGUGAGUUUUUUUGUUUUUUUGCAUUGUGUAGGAGAUAGUGAGAAGUGAAGCCAGCUGGACUUCUGGGUCGGGUGGGGACUUGGAGAACUUUUCUGUCUUACAAAAGGAUUGUAAAAUGCACGAAUCAGCACUCUGUAACUAGGAUUGUAAAAUGCACCAAUCAGUGGUCUGUAGCUAGCUAGAGGUUUGUAAAAUGGACCAAUCAGCAUUCUGUAAAAUGGACCAAUCAGCACUCUGUAAAAUGGACCAAUCAGCAUUCUGUAAAAUGAACCAAUCAGCAGGACAUGGGCAGGGACAAAUAAGAGAAUAAAAGCUGGCCACCCCAGCCAGCAGCAGCAACCCGCUUGGGUCCCCUUCCAUGCUGUGGAAGCUUUGUUCUUUCGCUUUUCACAAUAAAUCUUGCUGCUGCUCACUUUUUGGGUCUGUGCCACCUUUAAGAGCUGUAACACCGUGAAGGUCCGUGGCUUCGUUCUUGAAGUCAGCGAGACCAAGAAUGCACCAGAAGAAACCAACUCUGGACACAUCUUGGCAACCCAGAUGGGACUAUUGCCAAGUGGAUCAAUGCCAUCAAGCUACAGAUGGUCUUACAAAUGGAACCCCAAACGAGCUCAACUAACAACUUCUACCGAGGACCCCUGGACCAACCCACUGACCCUUUGGCUGGCCUAGAGAGUUUCCCUCUGGAGGAUACUACCACUGCAGGGCCCCUUCGCCCCCAUCCAGCAGGAAGUAGCUAGAGUGGUCAUCGCCCAAUUUCCAACAGCAGUUGGGGUGUCCUGUUUAGAGGGGAGAUUGAGAGGUGAAGCCAGCUGGACUUUUGGGUCAGGUGGGGACUUGGAGAACUUUUCUGUCUUACAAGAGGAUUGUAAAAUGUGCCAAUUAGCACUCUGUAGCUAGGAUUGUAAAACGCACCAAUCAGCACUCUGUAGCUAGCUAGAGGUUUGUAAAAUGAACCAAUCAGCACUCUGUAAAAUGGACCAAACAGCAGGACAUGGGCGGUGACCCCAGGAAAUAAAAGCUGGCCACCCCAGCCAGCAGCA